AGUGAACGCUGGCGGUAGGCCUAACACAUGCAAGUCGAACGGCAGCACAGUAAGAGCUUGCUCUUACGGGUGGCGAGUGGCGGACGGGUGAGGAAUACAUCGGAAUCUACUUUUUCGUGGGGGAUAACGUAGGGAAACUUACGCUAAUACCGCAUACGACCUACGGGUGAAAGCAGGGGAUCUUCGGACCUUGCGCGAUUGAAUGAGCCGAUGUCGGAUUAGCUAGUUGGCGGGGUAAAGGCCCACCAAGGCGACGAUCCGUAGCUGGUCUGAGAGGAUGAUCCGCCACACUGGAACUGAGACACGGUCCAGACUCCUACGGGAGGCAGCAGUGGGGAAUAUUGGACAAUGGGCGCAAGCCUGAUCCAGCCAUACCGCGUGGGUGAAGAAGGCCUUCGGGUUGUAAAGCCCUUUUGUUGGGAAAGAAAAGCAGCAGGUUAAUACCCCGCUGUUCUGACGGUACCCAAAGAGUAAGCACCGGCUAACUUCGUG
rnacentral:rRNA from 1 species